AUUUAUUCAGUCGAAAAUAGCGGAAACGGGGCGUCACGGGUAUGCGCAUGCGCAAGACUCGUUGCUACGACGCAUGCGCAGUGCUUACUUAAAACCGUUGAACACACGUGUUCGCCCCAGUCGGUCUGCAGUACAGAGGCACCACGUGGAUCCCUGCUUACUUCCCGGAAAUGACCAUGCUGCACAAACCACUUCCUUCUCCGGGUCACGUGGUUGUCGGGUUUGGGCUCAUUGCCCCUCAUGUUGCAUUUUGGCCGGUGGGGGGCGUCAAUGCGCCUUUGCUCUCAAUAACAAUCCAGCAGGUUAGAUCAUCCAGCAGUGGAGAGGUGAAAUGGGUACCAAAUUUGCACAGCUACUCGUGAAUGAUAGUCAGCUGCUCUUCACCAUGAUGGUCAUAUGGAAUGUGUCCUGAACCAGGGACCCUGCAGAUGCUGAAAAGGUUCCUAGUCUUGGUUUUCUUUCUACCGAUGUAAAACUGAUUGUGGGGCUCGUUGUGUUCCCAACACGUUUCUUCUUUGAGGGUGUAAGAGGAGACCACAUCAUGAAGUAUCUGGAAUGGGUUCAUGGAAGCUCCUCGUCUGGAAUGCACAAGGGCCAUCGUGGAGCUUUAAGCUGAGAUGCUGGUUUAAGUUGCAUUCAGAAAAAACUGACAUCAGUUCGACAAUGAUUUGUACGUAAUCGAUCCAAUGGUGGUAACUUGUUAAAAAUAAAGAUAUUUCUUAUUUA